rnacentral:rRNA from 1 species
AGUGAACGCUGGCGGUAGGCCUAACACAUGCAAGUCGAACGGCAGCACAGUAAGAGCUUGCUCUUACGGGUGGCGAGUGGCGGACGGGUGAGGAAUACAUCGGAAUCUACUUUUUCGUGGGGGAUAACGUAGGGAAACUUACGCUAAUACCGCAUACGACCUACGGGUGAAAGCAGGGGAUCUUCGGACCUUGCGCGAUUGAAUGAGCCGAUGUCGGAUUAGCUAGUUGGCGGGGUAAAGGCCCACCCAGGCGACGAUCCGUAGCUGGUCUGGGAGGAUGAUCAGCCACACAGGAACUGAGACACGGUCCAGACUCCGACGGGAGGCAGCAGGGGGUAAUAUUGGACAAUGGGCGCAAGCCUGAUCCAGCCAUACCGCGUGGGUGAAGAAGGCCUUCGGGUUGUAAAGCCCUUUUGUUGGAAAGAAAAGCAGCAGGUUAAUACCCCGCUGUUCUGACGGUACCCAAAGAAUAAGCACCGGCUAACUUCGUG